AACACAGCAACCAUGAGCAGCAUCUGCUUCCCUUGGCACAGGCUUCUGGUUAGAGACAAGAUAAUUUACAAAUAGGCCAGGCUGGUUAUGACUCAGCCCUAAUCACCACAAACAAUCCCUUUGUUUCAUCAAAGGAAAACCAGGUGGAGCACACAUCUACUGAGCACUGUGCAGCUCAGGUGCAUUAUACAGCACCUGAAGCCCAGGGAUGUGUUCAUUGGCCUCGCCCUUAAACACAGUGCAGGCUCAGGAAACCAGAUUACACCAUGACCUUGAUUAUGCAUCAUGCUUACAGCUGAUCCAGCUCAUUCUGGGGCUCCCAUGAGGCCAGACCUGCAGCAGGGACUGGCACAGCAGCCCCGAGGACUCUGACCCAGAUCCAGGAGUUGAUUUGAGAGUGGGAAGCUGAGGAAAAGGCCUGCAAGAGAUUGGCAGGAUCCCCAGGCAUCGCUGAAGCAGCGCUCUGCCCUCGCCCUGGGUGAAUACAGCAUCUUCCUGCCCACCUGCAGGCAGGCAUCCAGCCCUGCUCUGUGUCAGGUGCUCCACUGUGAACCCCCUGGGAAGAAGCCUUCAUCUUUGUAUCAGUUUCAAGUGUUCCCUUAUCUGUGGUUGUUCCCUGCGUUGGAAGAGUUGCCCUCCCUCACAGUUCCAAGGAGGUUCAUGCCUUCUCCUCAGCGGAGCGCAUCGAAGCAGCUCUGCACAGCCCCCGCCUCGGCACAGGAAAGGACAGAAAGUGGCUGUGGUGCCACUGCCAGGGAGCUCCCCCUUCACAGGGGCUGACCAGAGCAGCUCCUGCAGCACCUGUUACCCCGCUUUGCUCUUAAAUCAAGCUGCACUGGAAAUCGACCAAGCACAGCUCAAGUUAUUGACAGUGCCGAGCAAAGGCACAGGGAACUGCAGCGAGGGGAAGGGAGAUCAAUGGUGUCUUUGACAGAGGAAUGAAUCUGAGCAGAGCAGGGGACUCACAGAUUUGGGGAAGCUUUCUGAAGGCCCUGAAUAGCUUCCUCGAAGGCUGCAUCGCACACUGCGCUGUGACCUAGGCUCCGGUGAACGCCAGUGCCAUCCCUGGGAGUGGCCCAUGCCCGACGCGGUGACACGGCCGCUGCCGCGCGGGCGGCGGAGCCGGGCAGAUGCUGUCUGCAGCCAGGCAGGCUCUGACGCACGAGGGAUUUGGCCCAGCUAGAGCUUUGCAGAGCAUCAGCUGCACCCUUACAUCCACCUGCUACAACAGCCCUGGCAGCCAGUAGCUGCAAGGCAGGCACAGCACGGGAAACCCUCUCCUUCCCACCACGGCCUUUGCAAUUCCCAGCACAAGCAGUUACACAAAUUGUAAAAGAAAAAUCCAACCUGCAGCAUUUCUUAAUUAUUUAACCUUGGUUCAGCUCCUUUCCUGUCCUUACAUGAAAAACUUGCCUGUAGUUCUGCUUUGACUUUUCCAUGCAUAAAGACACCCCUGGUUGCUUGGUCACUAACAGGUACCCACUGCCUGCUCCCCACGUCCCAAUACCCACAAAAUACAGCUCUUAACGUCCAGAUUAGCACCAUUGUAUCGGUCAUGCACUAUGUACAGAGAAGGACUGGGGCAAAGAGGAGACUGGUGCAACCUUCCUGGAGCCACAUCAGUGAUGAGGGUGCUCCCAGUGCACAAGCAUGCUAUGGGUGAGAUGGAUUUCCACCCUAACCCCUAACACUGUCCUCCCUCCCCUUGAGAGAGCUGAGAGUGUUGUUUCUGUGGAAAAUGUGGGGUCAGGCUUGAUUACCAAACCUCUGAUCGAAGAGGAGAAAAAACUGCACACAGCAGAGAAAGCGAGUCAAGAGGAAAACAGCACAGCAGUCUCCAAACCCUGCCCUGAGCUUCUCUCAAAUUGCCCUUAACCAGUUGUUUCUUUGUGACUCAUAUUCCUCUUCUCCUUUAUCUGCCCUUUUUUCUU
ensembl:lncRNA